rnacentral:rRNA from 1 species
CAGUCGCCGCGGGAAUACAGAGGGUGCAAGCGUUAAUCGGAAUUACUGGGCGUAAAGUGCGCGUAGGUGGUUUGUUAAGUUGGAUGUGAAAUCCCCGGGCUCAACCUGGGAACUGCAUCCAAAACUGGCAAGCUAGAGUAUGGUAGAGGGUGGUGGAAUUUCCUGUGUAGCGGUGAAAUGCGUAGAUAUAGGAAGGAACACCAGUGGCGAAGGCGACCACCUGGACUGAUACUGACACUGAGGUGCGAAAGCGUGGGGAGCAAACAGGAUUAGAUACCCGUGUAGUCCCUGUCUCUUAUAC